ensembl:lncRNA
GGGAAUGAAAAUAACUGUAGAAAUGGCUAUCUGAUCCUUUCUUCAGGUGAUUUAUCCACAGGCCGUUGAGAAAUUACAGUUUAUGGGGAUUUGGCAUGAGGAGAGACAUAGAAUAUGGUCUAUGAUCCUUUUCCAUUUCGUAUUUAUAUUAAAAUAUUACAUUGUAUUUUAUUGUAUUGAUCACUUCCAGCAGUCAAUAUUGAAAAACCUACUACAGUCAGACCAGUUUAGGUCAGGCUUUGUUUUAUAAUCUCACACUGGCCUCUUUAUACACACACACACACACACACACAUACAUUCCUUCUCCCCUUCCUUCUCUCUCUCUAAGCCUUGUAACCCCCACCCCCAUCAUCACCACCAUCAUCAUCAUCAUCAUCAUCAUCACACGCUUUAUUUUCUUCCCAUUUGUUUUGUUCCAGACUCCGGUUCCACGUUUUCUCCGCUGCUGCUUCGCCCUGACUCAUUGUGGUCACAUUUGCAAAGAUGCACGGCACUCGCCAGCCGCGUUACACACUCGAUGACCUCACUGAAUCUUCUAAUGCAGCCGAGCCUGUGGAACUGAUUACUGUGGACUGGAGUUGCUAAUUUAUGCCCAAUACGUAACCUCGAGAGAAUUUAAAUGUCUCUUUUUAUGGGUCUGGUCUGGCAAGACACAUUUUUAUCAGUGGCACGGUUCCAAAUCAAAAAUGGCACCUUAAAAUGUGGAGAGAAAGACAAGAUCGUUUAUGUUAGGGGGGUAAACAGCUUGGUAUAUAUUUUAUUACAUUUCCUCAACCUCCGUUGCAUAUUUUGGAACUUGAUUACACUCGAACGGAUCAAACACACCAAGUUAAGUGGCAGUUUUGAAUAGAAGUAGAAUGUCUGAGGUGCAGGUCAACGUAAUUGACCGCACUGAACACCGGCCCCCUUGGUCCGUGAUGAAGGAGCUGGAGGUUUGUCCGGGCCAGGAACAAUUAAAGCUGUACCACAUUUAAUAAAUGAAUAAAUCCAGCAGACGACAGCCACCAGCUUAAGGUGCAUUUAAUCUCUAAUUAACGAGCCCCUCCCCUAGAAAUCCCUGUUAGCUAUGCUAAUUAACCCGCUGCUAACGAGGAAUCUGCUAAUGCAGACUUCCUGUGGAGAAACCUAAAAUCUGAUCGAAGAAUUGUUCUGCAAUGGACGAACCAAUUUUAAACACCACCGAUUUAUUUAUCUGCUCAUAAUGUUGAGUAAUGUUUUGGUUAAUAUUUCAAGAUUUUCAGUUAGGCUGCAUAAUGUUCGUAGCCCAUAAAUCAUGUUCUUGACUAGGCCAAAAAAAAGUGAAAUUACAGACAAUUUCUCCACAUAAACAGUUCCAAAAAAAAAAGGUUGAUGUUGUGAGCUUCCUCUUGUGCCUGGUGUAGAUUGAAAAAAGGGGACCUUAUCAGUUGUUUUGCUGCUUGUGUCACCUAGAUAAUUCUUACCUACAGACAUCCAGACAUUUUGUAGUUAAUGGUGGUGGUGGUGGUGGUGGUGGGGAGGGGUUUCCUCCAUUUGUGUGCUGGAAAAAUCCGGGAAUUUCUCAUUAGGCCGUGGAGUGAAGAUACGGCGUGCUCGCAUUUCAUUUGCAUGUCGUUAACUUGCUUCGUCGCCGUCAAGACAGCCCAGCAAGCCUUCAGGAAAAAAAAGAAGCUGUUUUCUCCACUUCUUUUCUCGCAGACAUGCCUGUGCCUCUCCUCGAGCUUGAAAAAAAAAAAAAAAACAGCCUGCUUUUCAUCCCAGAUGUGUGGAAAGGGUCAUAAACUCUUCCUGGGCUUUAGCUAGCCCCCCUCCUCUCCCCAUCUGUAAUUGGAUGCAACAACGCUUGCUCUAGAAAAAGAAAAAAAAAGGGUGUCUUUUUUCCGUCCUAGGUGCCUGGGACCACAUUCAAUUAAAAAGAACCAGAGGGAAAAAACCGGUGGCUGUAGAGGUUGUAUGGCAUAGCCGAAGAUCUGCAAUUCGGAAAAUGGCGACAAAAUGGCACCUGAAAUACGCACAUGUCUGAUUAGCAACAUAAACUUUAAAGAAACUAAACAACAUUCUAAAAAAAAAAAACAAAGAUGACGCAUAUCGUUAAUGAUUAACUAGGUCUAUUUGUGUUGUGUUUAGGUGCAAUCAUACCUGGAAGAGAUCUGAUUAUUCAGCACUCAGAUGGAGAUCCAUCUGGAACGUUGAGGCUCGUUUUCUAUGCUAAUUUGCAGGUGCUCCUGGGACGUCGAAGGUAAAAUUGUCGCGACCCAAGUUUGUUACGGGGACAUGCUUUUUGACUAAUCGAUACGAGUAUACAACGUGUAAUCAUAUAAGAGCAGUAUGUACAGGGGGAAAGAAAAUGAUAGGGAUAGAAGUGAGAAAGGGAACAAGGGCUAUAGAGUGUAGCAUGUGUGUGUGUGUGUGAGAGAGAGACAAAGUGUUUGUGUGUGCUUCUUGAGCCAGCACAGCAGGUUAUUUCUGUAUGCAUGGUGCAUCUACUCAUUCCGUGAGGAACAUCUAUCAUUUUAGCCGGUGAUUAAUGGCCAUCCCGAGCUUGGCUGGUGCGAAAGCGAAAAAGCCUCGGAGAGGAUAAAAAAAGAAGAAGAGGGGAACGAGAAAGAGAAAUGCCACUGCGACUGCGGCAAGUCGAGCCCUCACACAAACUCGCCGCGUAGUCCAAUUCCCAAAGAACCAAUACGAAGCGUUUCUCUUUUAUUUACAUUAGCAAGGUCAAGUAUCCGGGCCUGACUUCCACGACCGUGUCAGAAUUAGCUGAUUAUUGGGUUGUUGUAUUUUUAAGGGUAAGCGGAAAAUGACAUCGUUUUCAUCACGGGGUCACAGCUGUAAAUCCAAAACGCCCAAGACGCCGGAGACAAAGACAUCCGAUUUAAUAUCACAUCAUGCUACAGUAUAUUGCAUAUAUUUUUUUUUACAAAAAAAUCAAAAAAGCUGUUUAAUCUCGACGGUUUACACACACGACUCGGACCCCUUUCCUUCCACGAGCAUCCUGAGUGGCCUACCCAGCUCCAGUUUAAUUAAAUAAUCACCCCUCUUUCUGAGCGAGUGGGCCAGCUAUAUGGCUAGUGGUGGUAUAAAUCAAGCGAAAGGGCAUCUCCUGAUAUGCAAACGGAAAAGCGAGCGGAUUAAAAUAAACGAAGGGUCGUAACGCACAGAUGCCCGUAUGGUAAUGAGGAGAACGCGGAUGCGUAGGUCACUUUUUUUUUUUCCUUUCCGUGUCCGCUGCCUCCUUGGAGCUCAGGCACCAAUGUUUGCUAGUGAAGUGUGGAAGCAAACAUGGCCGGGAAAGGAGGCAAUGCGAUCAAGCAAACUGACAUAAAGUGGAAAUUAGGAAUGGAAAAAAAAUGAAUAAAAUAUCAAGUUGAUGGAAGUAGGUUCUUGUGUAGCAUCGAAUUAAAGCCAUUCCCACUGUCCUGUCCGAUUUCCCGAGUCCUCUACCGCGUUAAGGUUCGACGUAUUGUGCGUUGUGACCUGCUUUUCUGCUCACCACGCUUGUAAAGAGUCGCUACAGCCUCCCUGCCAGCUUGAACCCAUCUUUCGUUCUCAUCCGACAUAGUGUUUUUCGCCUGUAGUCCCGGAUGUUUUUUUUUGUUUUCCGCACCAUUC